AACAUCCCCACUGGGCAGGCAGCUCCCCAGGAGCAGCAGCCGCCUGCUCCAGGUCUUCAGUGCAAACCUGCCCGCAAGCUGCUGUUGGAGGAGCAUCCCAGGACAGCACUUGGGAAGGUGGAGGAACAACACAGCCCCCUGUGCUGUCUGGGAAGACUGGUGGCUCUGGGACCACGGCUGAUGGAGGAUGAAGGUCUGCUGUUUUCUGGUUGGAGUAUUUUUAAUAGUCUGCAUUAUUAAAUGGAAAGCAAACUACAGGUGUGGCCAUUAAUUCUGCUGGGGAAAGGACAGCCUGCCUUCUUCAAGCAUCCAAGACCUGCUGCAGAAUAUGUGAGAACAUGUAUUUCUGUGGAAUGGUACCAGCACAGGAUGAUGCUGUGAGUGGCACUGAGCAGCGUGUGGUCCUCGGCUGGGUGAUGUCUUCUGCCCACAGCUUGUGGCCAUACCCAAGCAGGGCACGGACCGCAGCUGGCAGCCCCUUUAUGAAGCCCAGUGGUUCCAGCUCAUCCACCAUCUAUUUUGGCACCUGA
rnacentral:lncRNA from 1 species